rnacentral:snoRNA from 1 species
CAACUGCUUCAAACACUCUGGGACUUGCCUUCUUUCCUUCGUGGAUCGAUUCAAUCUGUGGCAUAUCCCUAUUUUUGGAAAGCGGAGACCAACACGACCGAUUACUCACCGCGAUAUCUUAUCCUUUUGGAGUGGAUAUAGUGGUCCAUAUCUUCUGGCCUACAC